AAUGAACGCUGGCGGCGUGGAUUAGGCAUGCAAGUCGAACGCGAAAGUUCCCUUCGGGGAGCGAGUAGAGUGGCGAAAGGGUGAGUAAUGCUUGGAUGACCUGCCCUCGAGACGGGGGACAACAGUUCGAAAGGACUGCUAAUACCCGAUAGUCCGGUUUAGAUGCGUCUAGAUCGGUAAAUGGUGCUUCCGCUCGAGGAGGGGUUCAAGUCCUAUCAGCUUGUUGGUGAGGUAACGGCUCACCAAGGCGAUGACGGGUAGCCGGACUGAGAGGUUGGCCGGCCACAUGGGAACUGAGACACUGUCCUGACUCCUACGGGAGGCUGCAGUCGAGAAUCUUCUGCAAUGGGCGAAAGCCUGACAGAGCGACGCCGCGUGGAGGAUGAAGGCCCUCGGGUCGUAAACGUCCUGUCACAUGUUAUGAAACGCACAGGUCUACCUGUGCGCUGACAAAAGCAUGAGAGGAAGUCACGGCUAACUUCGUGCCAG
rnacentral:rRNA from 1 species